UGGGGAAUAUUGCACAAUGGGCGCAAGCCUGAUGCAGCCAUGCCGCGUGUAUGAAGAAGGCCUUCGGGUUGUAAAGUACUUUCAGCGGGGAGGAAGGGAGUAAAGUUAAUACCUUUGCUCAUUGACGUUACCCGCAGAAGAAGCACCGGCUAACUCCGUGCCAGCAGCCGCGGUAAUACGGAGGGUGCAAGCGUUAAUCGGAAUUACUGGGCGUAAAGCGCACGCAGGCGGUUUGUUAAGUCAGAUGUGAAAUCCCCGGGCUCAACCUGGGAACUGCAUCUGAUACUGGCAAGCUUGAGUCUCGUAGAGGGGGGUAGAAUUCCAGGUGUAGCGGUGAAAUGCGUAGAGAUCUGGAGAAAUACCGGUGGCGAAGGCGGCCCCCUGGACGAAGACUGACGCUCAGGUGCGAAAGCGUGAGGAGCAAACAGG
rnacentral:rRNA from 1 species